rnacentral:SRP_RNA from 1 species
UGGUCCCUUAACAAUGAAUGAGCACGAACCCCGCCAGGCCCGGAAGGGAGCAACGGUAGUGCUUUAUUUGUGUGUUGAGUGUGGC